UACGUAGGGUGCAAGCGUUGUCCGGAAUUAUUGGGCGUAAAGAGCUCGUAGGCGGUUUGUCGCGUCGAAUGUGAAAACCCGGGGCUCAACCCCGGGCCUGCAUUCGAUACGGGCAGACUAGAGUUCGGUAGGGGAGUCUGGAAUUCCUGGUGUAGCGGUGAAAUGCGCAGAUAUCAGGAGAAACACCGGUGGCGAAGGCGGGACUCUGGGCCGAUACUGACGCUGAGGAGCGAAAGCGUGGGGAGCAAACAGG
rnacentral:rRNA from 1 species